UGCUUUACACAUGCAAGUCGAACGCGAAAGGGGGGCAACUCCUGAGUAGAGUGGCGAACGGGUGAGUAAUACAUCGGAACAUAUCCUGUAGUGGGGGAUAACCCCGAGAAAUCGGGGCUAAUACCGCAUACGACCUUAGGGAGAAAGCGGGGGACCGCAAGGCCUCGCGCUAUAGGAGUGGCCGAUGUCGGAUUAGCUAGUUGGUGGGGUAAAGGCCCACCAAGGCGACGAUCCGUAGCUGGUCUGAGAGGAUGAUCAGCCACACUGGGACUGAGACACGGCCCAGACUCCUACGGGAGGCAGCAGUGGGGAAUUUUGGACAAUGGGCGCAAGCCUGAUCCAGCAAUGCCGCGUGAGUGAAGAAGGCCUUCGGGUUGUAAAGCUC
rnacentral:rRNA from 1 species